rnacentral:rRNA from 1 species
GAUGAACGCUGGCGGCGUGCCUAAUACAUGCAAGUCGAACGAACGGACGAGAGGCUUGCUUCCCUGAUGUUAGCGGCGGACGUGUGUGUAACACGUGUAUAACCUACCUAAGAGACUGGGAUCAAUUCGGGAAACCGGAUCUAAUACCGGAACAUAUUUUGUACCACAUUGUUCAAUAGUGAAAGGCAGUUUCUCUGCUACCAAUAGAUGGUUCCGCGUGUCAUUAGCUUGUUGGUAAGGUAACGGCUUACCAAGACAACGAUGCAUAGCCGACCUGGGAGGGUGAUCGGCAACACGGGAACUGAGACACGGUCCAGACUCCUACGGGAGGCAGCAGUAGGGAAUCUUCCGAAAUGGGCGAAGGCCGGACGGAGCAACGCCGCGUGAGUGAUGAAGGUCUUCGGAUCGUAAAACUCUGUUAUUAGGGAAGAACAUAUGUGUAAGUAAAUGUGCACAUCUUGACGGUACCUAAUCAGAAAGCCACGGCUAACUACGUG